CGUCCGCUCUGCCUGAUAAUGACAAGAACCAAUGUCAUUACAACCAGCACGCCACAACCUACGGCAGCAGGAGGCAGAGUGUGCAUCUGCAUGGUAAGCAGUGGUUGGCUUUCACUCUGCGGGUGCUCACCCUCUGGAGGUGGCAGCUGGUACACCACACACAGCGAGGAGUACAGGCAGCCCACAAACGACAUCAAGCUCGAAAAGUACAUCACGCCUUGAGCCCCACCUACCAGUGAGACCAACACACAUUCAGACUAAUCUACCUGCGGACUCUGGUAGUAUUCGCACAACAGGGAGUAAGGCAGUGUGCAGAGGGAUGAGAAGAGCACUCCGUAAGUGACACACAGAGACAGCACAACGUAGAUGUUGGUGGACAGCGUGGCCAGGCCUGUGCCCAAACCAAAUGCAAGAUAUGCAAAGAAAUACAGUGAGCGUAGUGAAAAAUGCUCUUCCAGCUUCUCCAGGAUUGCUGCAAAACACAAACAUUUAAAAGAUAAA